rnacentral:rRNA from 1 species
GAUGAACGCUGGCGGCGUGCCUAAUACGUGCAAGUCGAGCGAACGGACGAGAAGCUUGCUUCUCUGAUGUUAGCGGCGGACGGGUGAGUAACACGUGGAUAACCUACCUAUAAGACUGGGAUAACUUCGGGAAACCGGAGCUAAUACCGGAUGAUAUUUUGAACCGCAUGGUUCAAAAGUGAAAGACGGUCUUGCUGUCACUUAUAGAUGGAUCCGCGCUGCAUUAGCUAGUUGGUAAGGUAACGGCUUACCAAGGCAACGAUGCAUAGCCGACCUGAGAGGGUGAUCGGCCACACUGGAACUGAGACACGGUCCAGACUCCUACGGGAGGCGGCAGUAGGGAAUCUUCCGCAAUGGGCGAAAGCCUGACGGAGCAACGCCGCGUGAGUGAUGAAGGUCUUCGGAUCGUAAAACUCUGUUAUUAGGGAAGAACAUAUGUGUAAGUAACUGUGCACAUCUUGACGGUACCUAAUCAGAAAGCCACGGCUAACUACGUG